rnacentral:rRNA from 1 species
GGGUUGUGAGGUUAAGCGACUAAGCGUACACGGUGGAUGCCCUGGCAGUCAGAGGCGAUGAAGGACGUGCUAAUCUGCGAAAAGCGUCGGUAAGGUGAUAUGAACCGUUACAGCCGGCGAUGUCCGAAUGGGGAAACCCAGUGCAAUUCGUUGCACUAUCGUUAACUGAAUACAUAGGUUAACGAGGCGAACCGGGGGAACUGAAACAUCUAAGUACCCCGAGGAAAAAAAAUCAACCGAGAUUCCCCCAGUAGCGGCGAGCGAACGGGGAGCAGCCCAGAGUCUGAAUCAGCUUGUGUGUUAGUGGAACGGUCUGGAAAGUCCGACGGUACAGGGUGAUAGUCCCGUACACCAAAAUGCACAGGCUGUGAACUCGAAGAGUAGGGCGGGACACGUGGUAUCCUGUCUGAAUAUGGGGGGACCAUCCUCCAAGGCUAAAUACUCCUGACUGACCGAUAGUGAACCAGUACCGUGAGGGAAAGGCGAAAAGAACCCCGGCGAGGGGAGUGAAAAAGAACCUGAAACCGUGUACGUACAAGCAGUGGGAGCACCUUCGGGUGUGACUGCGUACCUUUUGUAUAAUGGGUCAGCGACUUAUAUUCUGUAGCAAGGUUAACCGUAUAGGGGAGCCGCAGGGAAACCGAGUCUUAACUGGGCGUUAAGUUGCAGGGUAUAGACCCGAAACCCGGUGAUCUCGCCAUGGGCAGGUUGAAGGUUGGGUAACACUAACUGGAGGACCGAACCGACUAAUGUUGAAAAAUUAGCGGAUGACUUGUGGCUGGGGGUGAAAGGCCAAUCAAACCGGGAGAUAGCUGGUUCUCCCCGAAAGCUAUUUAGGUAGCGCCUCGUGAAUUCAUCUUCGGGGGUAGAGCACUGUUUCGGCUAGGGGUCAUCCCGACUUACCAACCCGAUGCAAACUACGAAUACCGAAGAAUGUUAUCACGGGAGACACACGGCGGGUGCUAACGUCCGUCGUGAAGAGGGAAACAACCCAGACCGCCAGCUAAGGUCCCAAAGUCAUGGUUAAGUGGGAAACGAUGUGGGAAGGCACAGACAGCCGGGAUGUUGGCUUAGAAGCAGCCAUCAUUUAAAGAAAGCGUAAUAGCUCACUGGUCGAGUCGGCCUGCGCGGAAGAUGUAACGGGGCUAAACCAUGCACCGAAGCUGCGGCAGCGACACUAUGUGUUGUUGGGUAGGGGAGCGUUCUGUAAGCCUGCGAAGGUGACCUGUGAGGGUUGCUGGAGGUAUCAGAAGUGCGAAUGCUGACAUAAGUAACGAUAAAGCGGGUGAAAAGCCCGCUCGCCGGAAGACCAAGGGUUCCUGUCCAACGUUAAUCGGGGCAGGGUGAGUCGACCCCUAAGGCGAGGCCGAAAGGCGUAGUCGAUGGGAAACAGGUUAAUAUUCCUGUACUUGGUGUUACUGCGAAGGGGGGACGGAGAAGGCUAUGUUAGCCGGGCGACGGUUGUCCCGGUUUAAGCAUGUAGGCUGGUUAUCCAGGCAAAUCCGGAUAAUCAAGGCUGAGGUGUGAUGACGAGGCACUACGGUGCUGAAGUAACAAAUGCCCUGCUUCCAGGAAAAGCCUCUAAGCAUCAGGUAACAUCAAAUCGUACCCCAAACCGACACAGGUGGUCAGGUAGAGAAUACCAAGGCGCUUGAGAGAACUCGGGUGAAGGAACUAGGCAAAAUGGUGCCGUAACUUCGGGAGAAGGCACGCUGGUGUGUAGGUGAAGUCCCUGCGGAUGGAGCUGAGACCAGUCGAAGAUACCAGCUGGCUGCAACUGUUUAUUAAAAACACAGCACUGUGCAAACACGAAAGUGGACGUAUACGGUGUGACGCCUGCCCGGUGCCGGAAGGUUAAUUGAUGGGGUUAUCCGUAAGGAGAAGCUCUUGAUCGAAGCCCCGGUAAACGGCGGCCGUAACUAUAACGGUCCUAAGGUAGCGAAAUUCCUUGUCGGGUAAGUUCCGACCUGCACGAAUGGCGUAAUGAUGGCCAGGCUGUCUCCACCCGAGACUCAGUGAAAUUGAACUCGCUGUGAAGAUGCAGUGUACCCGCGGCAAGACGGAAAGACCCCGUGAACCUUUACUAUAGCUUGACACUGAACAUUGAGCCUUGAUGUGUAGGAUAGGUGGGAGGCUUUGAAGCGUGGACGCCAGUCUGCGUGGAGCCAACCUUGAAAUACCACCCUUUAAUGUUUGAUGUUCUAACGUUGGCCCCUGACCGGGGUUGCGGACAGUGUCUGGUGGGUAGUUUGACUGGGGCGGUCUCCUCCCAAAGCGUAACGGAGGAGCACGAAGGUUAGCUAAUCCUGGUCGGACAUCAGGAGGUUAGUGCAAUGGCAUAAGCUAGCUUGACUGCGAGCGUGACGGCGCGAGCAGGUGCGAAAGCAGGUCAUAGUGAUCCGGUGGUUCUGAAUGGAAGGGCCAUCGCUCAACGGAUAAAAGGUACUCCGGGGAUAACAGGCUGAUACCGCCCAAGAGUUCAUAUCGACGGCGGUGUUUGGCACCUCGAUGUCGGCUCAUCACAUCCUGGGGCUGAAGUAGGUCCCAAGGGUAUGGCUGUUCGCCAUUUAAAGUGGUACGCGAGCUGGGUUUAGAACGUCGUGAGACAGUUCGGUCCCUAUCUGCCGUGGGCGCUGGAGAAUUGAGGGGGGCUGCUCCUAGUACGAGAGGACCGGAGUGGACGCAUCACUGGUGUUCGGGUUGUCAUGCCAAUGGCACUGCCCGGUAGCUAAAUGCGGAAGAGAUAAGUGCUGAAAGCAUCUAAGCACGAAACUUGCCCCGAGAUGAGUUCUCCCUGAGACUUUAAGUCUCCUGAAGGAACGUUAAAGACGAUGACGUUGAUAGGCCGGGUGUGUAAGCGCAGCGAUGCGUUGAGCUAACCGGUACUAAUGAACCGUGAGGCUUAACCUUACAACGCCGAAG